AGCUCCAAUAGCGUAUAUUAAAGUUGUUGCGGUUAAAAAGCUCGUAGUUGGAUUUUGGAGGUGUGAACUUUGGUCGGGCUCUGCCUUGAACUGGAGGUCCGCUUCUUCUGUCUGGGGAGUGCUUGUUCCUUCUUAAUUGGAGGGCUUGUGCGACCCAGGACUUUUACUUUGAACAAAUUAGAGUGCUCAAAGCAGGCCUACGCAUUGAAUACAUUAGCAUGGAAUAACGUAUAGGACUCUGGCCCUAUUUUGUUGGUUUUAAGGACCCGAGUAAUGAUUAAUAGGGAUAGUUGGGGGCAUUAGUAUUUAAUUGUCAGAGGUGAAAUUCUUAGAUUUAUGAAAGACUAACUUCUGCGAAAGCAUUUGCCAAGGAUGUUUUCAUUAAUCAAGAACGAAAGUA
rnacentral:rRNA from 1 species